rnacentral:lncRNA from 1 species
UUCACCAUUUUUUCUCUCUACUAAAGAAAAGUUUUCUCUCAAUUUUCCCUCUCCAUACGCACAACUCUUUUUUCCUUCAACUCUUGCCUCCUUUUAUAGAGAAUUUUUUGCUGCCCAGUUGCUUCAAAAAAUUCAAGAAAGAUGGCUGUAAAUGGGUUGUUAAAUGGCUGGAGCAAAGCUGGAAGCUCCACCGCCUUAGUUGCUGGAAAGGUCAAGAAAAUUUAGCCGAAUUUUCUUCAAGUAUUUCGACUGAAGAGGAGCAAUCAAAAUUGCCAACGUUCCAUUUGGAUGCAUGCAUGUGUCUUGCUUGGUUGUUAAGUAAGUGUCAUGAUAAAAAAAAAGUGGCUUUAUUUUCAACACAUGAUUUAUUUACUGUAAAUGAGUUUUCAACACUUACAUAUUCCCUGGAGCCUCGGCAGAUGAUAUUGGCAGAAAGGUGAACGGCUUGGUGUAAAUCUGUAUAAAAGCAACAUAAUUACUUUUAUGACUGGAAUGCAGCAGCUAGCUUUCAAACGAGUUAUAAUGAAGAUGAAGAUUCAAUAAAAAACUAAGUUACCAAUGGGAUGAAGCCCUUCAAUGAGAAUGAACAGGCACAAUUCCUACGGUGAGUGGCAAGGUAAAUCUUGGUUACAUAUACUUAGUGGCUAUAUCUGAAUCUGAUUGAACAAAAAUGAAGGGUUUGCUAUGAGGUAGCAAGCUUGACUAAGAUUAAAAUAUUAUCUACAAAUAAAUGAGUUACUUAUUUUGACAGUAAGAGUUACUUCCACAAUAAAUUUCUUUUACUUAAAAGCAAGAAAAACUAGCUUGUCCAGACAUGUUUAGAAAAACUUUUUAUUUUCUUUAAGCUUAAGUAAACAUGCUCUAUGAAGAAUGGUUGAGUAGAGAAACCCCACCUCUUGAGUUGCAGGAUUACAAUAGUAAAAAGAUCCCAAAUUUGCCCUUUAACAUCAAAAGAAAAAAAAUGUUUGUUUAUGAAAGUCGACUGAAGUUUGUCAAUGGCCCAUAGUUAUAAGUUGCCGCCAAAAUGACACAAAAAUUCACCAAAAUGUAACUUGUAAAUUUUUUAAAAAAAAAAAUGUAAGAUAAAUCAGUUCCUUGGAUUCUCUCUUCCUUUUACUAUCAAGGACAACAUUAUAGAUACAUUGGUUAUAGGAGUCAAAACAUGCAUAAGAGUGUGCAAUCACAAAGCUCAAUUCAAUGAUAUAUUUUUGAAAAAAUAAAACAGGCCAUGAACUAUUUAAUAUUACAAUAUUAAAAAUCAUAUAAUCCAUAUAGCUAAAAAGGCUCAAUUAACCAGAGAAAAUAUCAAUUGCCAACCUUUAACAUUUGAAAUAAUUACUAAUCACAGACAACCUAUGAGCCAGAUGAUCAGCAAUAUUAAAAAUGUUUCUAAGUUCUAGACAAAUGGAAUGAAGGAAUCUAUUCAAUCUGAAGUUGAAAAGCUUUUGAGAAAUAUUUUAGUGCCGAUAAUAAAAUUUGUGAAAUGUUUUAGUCAGCCCAUAGGAAAGGCUGCUACGAAGGGGACCCUCUCUCGGCCUACAACUAACACUGGCAGAGGCUAAAAUUGGGGAAAUGACAAUUAAAAUCAGUCCACCUAGGGAUGAAAACAACCUUUCAAAAGAAGAAAGUACCAUAGGAUUCACAGGAAAAUACUCAACAACAGGAGGGUAACAACCUCAAGGACGAGAUCUAACUUCGCAUCGACAUUCAAAAAUGGUUCAACAUUAAUAGUUUCCCAUGUUAUACAGUUUCUCAUUGACGCUGCAUGUUGAAAACAACGAAAGAUUAAAACUUAGAUGUAGGCUAUAAUAGGCAUUGCUUAAUCAUGCAAAAUGAAAUUGAUAGAACCUCAACCUGCAAUACCGAAAUGAUAAGACUCCUGGACCCAAUUGAAGGAAAUAACAAACUCACAGCAAUAAGAUCUUAAUGCAACGAUUUAUUGAUGAACAACAGAAAAUAACAAAUCCCAGGCUAAUCGAGAGGCCUGGUCUCUCCCCCUUGACUCAACCAAAACGUGAAUGCCUUUUUCCUUCCCGAAACCCCAUAUUUAUUUACACUUCCUACCACAAUGCUAUGACACUUUUACCCCUAACUAACUAACUUCAGCUGAUUUGGCAAGCUCCUUCAUCCUUCUAGAAUAGGUGAACUGGAUUGAGGGUCUAUCAUUACCCGCCGCCCCAAAAUCCACCUUGUCCUCAAGGUGGAGGUGUCGUUCAACUUCAAAAUUUGGAAUUCCAUACAAGUGAAUCGGUUCUUUGGUAAGAAUACUUAUCAAGGCAAAUGUCAAAAUGGGAUGUUUCAGCCCAAAUGCAUUCAAAAAGUUUUGGCGCUGAACACCUACGCUUAGAAUGUUAUCCAUACAAAUCCCAUAACCAGACACACCCUUUUGCGGACUUUCCAAUUUCUGAACAUGAAAAUCCAGAAUAAAAUUGUAACUUAUUGGACCCCUUUUUAUUGUAAUUGUUAGACACCUCACUAUAGCCAUCGUAGACGUUUGAGCGGUAAUAGGUGUUGGGUACGUAGGGUAAAUUAUAUGGGGAAAUUGCCGUGAGGGUGGGGAUUUAAAUUUGGGCAGAAAUAAUUAGGGAAUAUAUUUGAGCUGAAAUGAUUGGGAAUAAAAAUAAUGGUUAUAACUUUUAUAUCCAUAUGGGCCGGCAACAUAUUUAGCCCUUUUCAAUGACUCAAGCCUGUCUUCACCCCUUUUAGCUGGGGGUAACUUUAGAAAUAGCUAUAAUAUUCUUCCAAUUUUUCACAAUAGCCUUUCUUGCUAAAAGUACUAUAUUGCCCUUAAUGAAAUUAUUUGCAAGAUUUAUCUUAUAUCUUUAAGGAAUUGUCAAUCAGGUCCUAUAUCUAUAUUUUUCAAUCUUUUGAACACCUUUAAAUAUUCUUUAUAUUUUAGUAAUUCUUCAAAGAUUAUAGGUUGACCUUUCUUAGUUAUAUAUCCAUUAAAUAAUCCUACUGAAAUUUCUUCUUGGAUAUCCGUAUGUUUAGUUAUAAUAUCUUCUACUUUCCUUAUUUCUUUAUGAGUUCUUACAGGAUCAAAUCCUAUAUUAUUCUUACAACUAUAAUCUAUAUCUCUAUAUAUUUCUUCAAUUUUUUCUUUACCAAUAGGGAAUAUAACAUCAGAUUUUACAUCUAAUUUAAGCAGAAAAGAAACAUCUUCUUCAUCUAAAAAUAAAAUGAGAUUUUUAUCAUUAUUAACAGUAGAAGUGGAUGCUUGUGAAUUGCUCAUCAAAGAUAAUUAAAGCAUAAGCAUGUAAAAAUAAGUAAAUAACUUACAGUAAUCAAGUGGAAUAAACAGGUUUUCCCUCCAGUAUGCUCUUAUAGAUGCUUUGCAUGUACUUAAUCAAUCUUCUGAAUCAAGUAAAGAUUUAAAAUGUUUUUGAAAUCAUUUGGGUCCACAACUGCUUCCGCAAAAGGCUUUUCAAUUAAGGUUGCAUUUCUCAUUCUAGAGAACUAGCCGUGUUUCCACAGACGCUAUCUCACAGUAUCCAGAGUCUCUGUUUUCACCUCUAUCCAAACUCUUUUCAGAAUCAAGUUCUUACUUGGAACGAAAUUUUAAAAGAUAACUCACACACAAGGUGCUACAAAAUUUUUGUUAGAAACUGCCUUUUUCCCCUAAACCAUUCAUCAAAGACGGGUACUUUAGCAUGGCUAACAUCCAUUCAAAAUCAAUGUUUUGAAAAUCUUUUAAAAUCUCUAUCUGUACUGCCGAGGAAUCAUGAGAAGCUUAACGAAAUCCUUUUAUGGAAACUUUGUUGAACAUAACAAACUUUACUUUGAUAUUCAUAAACUGAAAUUGUACAUGCUUACAAACUAUAUUUACAUACCUUUGGUACUCACCUUAUGAAGUUUAGAACUCCAUAAGUGAUUACCUUAUUACACGCUUUCCUAUCUUCAAGCUAUCUAAUCUUUUUCUGAAUACAAGUAGUGUAAUCAGAUUACAAAAGAAUUUUCUCUAAUGUGUUCUCAGAGAAUAGAGAUAGAUUUUUCGAGAUAUCUUCCUUCUUCCUGCAUGUCCCCUUUUAUAGGAGAGUUUGGAAUCUUAUCUUGGACAGGUGUCUUCCACUUUCUUUGUUAGGUAGCAAGGCAUCUUAUCUCCACCGAAUUCUUCAUUGUCUUCUUGCUAUGUGGACCUCUCUUUUGAAAAUUAUGUGCCUUAUCUUUUGAAUUUGUCUGCCACUUGUGUCAAUUAGUGGGUAAGUGGUCACAAUAAUGGAGACUUUCUAAUAUUAUUUCUUGUCUUUAGUAGCCACAGUUUUUCUUUAAUAAAUUUCUUUAUUAAAGUAGUGAUAAAGGGCUACUUCAAUCACCAUCAUUUCUCCAUUUUUGAAUCAAAGAAUUCUGCAGGGAAUUCUUCAUCGUUCAGAGAUGCUUGGCUCAUAUCUUCAACAACACAAUAUUCACAGUGGUGAUCACUGUAAUUCCAAAGUAUCUUGCAUAAUUCCUUAGCCAUAUCUUCCGAUCCAUGCACUUGGUUGGAUAUAAUUGCAGAUAAUAAAUGGUCAAGAUAACAAAUAUCUUCUUCUUUGGUAUCCAUUCUUGCAUUGGAAUAGAUAAUAUGAUCUUCAGAUGGAUAAACCCAUAUUUUUUCUUUCUCAGUGAUUAUCUGAGUUACAUGUUCAAAUAUCUCUUUAUACCCUUUGGCUCUUCUAUAGGGCAUCAUAUUAAGAAUAUCUUGAUAUCCAUUUUUAACAACCUUUUGAUUGGCUGGUAAAAAAUGUUGAUUUGUUAAUCCCAUUUUGAUCACAUGGAACGAUGGAUGCAUAUAUUCAAGGACAGGAUCCCAU